rnacentral:lncRNA from 1 species
CCUCAACAGACAAUUGGGGCUUGCAACAGUGAGAAAUGUGUGGAGAUGGACAAGUAAAGCGACAUGUCUGCUACUUUGGUUAUAUGGGAUGGGAGACUAGAGAUUAAAAUAUCAAAAAAAACAAAAAAAAAACAAAAUUACAAUUCUCACCUUAGAGAAAUGUCAGCCUAGCUCAUGUAUGCGUACAAGCUCUUCUCUUUUUUUUCUCUCUUCCUUUUUUGUUG